rnacentral:rRNA from 1 species
UACGGGGGUGCGAGCGUUGUCCGGAAUCACUGGGCGUAAAGGGCGCGUAGGUGGUUUGAUAAGGGUGUGGUGAAAGUCCGGGGCUCAACCCCGGAUCUGCCGUGCCGGACUGUCAAACUCGAGGACUGUAGAGGCAGACGGAAUUCCGGGUGUAGCGGUGGAAUGCGUAGAGAUCCGGAGGAAUACCGGUGGCGAAGGCGGCAAGUCCUGGACCGACGAUGACGCUGAAGCCGAAA